rnacentral:misc_RNA from 1 species
CGCGUCUCUGCACAUCUCCGUCUACCUCUUUCUUUCGAAGAGCCGAACCUUUGCCGCUCUCUCUAGCCCUCUCUCGCUCUCUCUUCCACAUACGGCCAGAGCCCUUGUUUCCAUCCCCCUCCCCCUUCUGUCUCUGUCUGCGUGUGUGUGUGUGCGCGCGAGCGCAGGUCGGCCGACCAUUCCUUUGCUUCGUUGUUGUUUGGGUUCUCUGCGCGUCCCUUUCAUUUUCCUGUGCGUUUUUUUUCACUCGUGCCCGCUCAGGCUCGCCGGAUCGCUCUCCCACCCCGUGUUUCACAGACUCUCUCUCUCUCUCUGUUUCGUCCGCUCGUCAGUGGUCUUGCUGCCCGUUUUUCACGCAUUGCCAGCUCUCCCCUCCCCCACUCGCACUCCGAGUGCGCACACUUGUGUGUGUGCCUCUCUGCUUGCCACACAGGGCUACAAACGUAUACACAGCAGGGAACAGCAGCGCAACAAGCGAACGAUAUUCCCCCACGUAGAGCAAGGCCAGCACCCUAAAGGCCACUGAAAGAAGGCGAGGGAAUCAAGGGCAGGUAGACACACACGCGUGUGCACAUCAACAGAAGCUUAUCUCCCCCUUGUUUUCUGGUCAUUAUCGACGUGCACAAGUGUAGAACUCCUCCUAUGUGCCCCAGCCUGAGCGUGGCGGCAAGGUUUCGUGCAUUCUCUGUUACUUCAUCUCUCUGCUUCUGUGAGUGUGCGUGCGCGUCGGAAGAGUAUCUGCAUCUCCUGCACUCUCUCGGAACAGAAAGCCCUUUCCUUUCACCGCGUUGAACUCUCUGCUCGUUCCAGCUAGAGAGAGCGCAUCAUCUGUAUACCGUUGCCUUCUCCCUCCCUCCUCCCCCUCCAGACUCGCGUCUAAGCGCGUGCACCCGGAGAGUCGAACUCGACCACUACCACCGUUUGACCAUCGAAAAGGGAGGAUAUGAACUUCACACAGCAGCUGUGGUCUGUGAAGGAGUGGGGCCGCGUGAUGGCCACGAGGAGCGAGUACGUCACGAUUGUGCACGAGGCGACCAACGAUGAAAAAUGGGGGCCGACAGGGCCGCAGAUGGAUGCCGUAUGCAACGCCUACCCCCGCGGCGGCCCCGAAAUCUUGAACGAGCUGCGCAGCCGCCUCAACAACCGCGACAAGUCGUGGCGCCCGUGCUACAAGUCGCUGCUCGUCAUCGACCAUCUCGCCCGCAACGUCGACGACCGUUACCUGCCGGAGAUCUGCGCCUUGGUGCCCCUCAUCCGCACCAUCUCCACCAGCUUCUACUACACUAACCCCAAGGGUGUCGAUCACGGGGUGUCAGUGCGGGAGCGGGCGAAGAAGGUCGCGGACCUUCUCAGUGAUGGCCUGCAGCUGCGCGAGGAGCGCAUGGUAGCCGCGCAGAUCAAGGAGAAACUCUCCCACAACGCUAGCGAUGGCGGCGGCCCGAACAGCGGCUCCCCCUACAGCGGAGCUGGCGGCUAUGGCGGCUUUUACAGCGGUGGAUAUGGCGGCAGCCGCGAUCGUGACCGGCACCGAAGCUAUGGCAAGGGCUCCCGCCAGGCCUAUGACUCCUACCGGUCCUCGCCGCCCCCUGCGACGGUUCUGUCGCGCCCGCGCACCAAGGAGGAGCAGGAAAGGUGCGACAUGGAGAUGGCGCUGCGCUUGCAGCGUGACGAGGAGCGCCGCAGCGGCGUUUCGGCCGAGCAGCUGGAGGAGAUGUACGCAACCAAGGUCCGCCAGCGCCAGAACGAGGCUGAGCGCCAGAAAGUGACCGCGGAGGACGACGAGAGGCUCGCCAUGCGACUCCAGCAGGAGGAGGAGGAACGGGCGCGGCGCGAGGGCGUAUCGCUGCCGACGCUGAACUCGGACAAGCCAUCCAGCACGCCAGUAAAGGCCCCCUUGCCCAACCCGCCCGCGACGAAUGCGCUGGAAGAACUCUUCGCCCCUCCCCUGUUCUCCCAGCCCGCUGUCGCCGCCCCUGCUUCGUCGGCGGACCCCUUCGAUUCCUUCCUCGACUCCCGCUCCGGACUUGCACCACAACAGAACUCGUGGGGGCAGCCCCAACAACAGCCGUCCAGCGUUCAGAACCAAUGGGGGCAGCCACAGACAGCCAACGACGCUUGGGGUGCACCACAGCAAUGGCCGCAACAGUCCGUGCCGCCGCUGCAACAGCCCGUGCCGCCGCUGCAACAGCCCGUGCCGCCGCUGCAACAGCCCGUGCCGCCGCUGCAACAGCCCGUGCCGCCGCUGCAACAGCAGCAGUUCCACCCUUGGGGACAAUCUGCCACCGUCUCAACAAGCAACUCUUGGGGCCAGCCCCAGCAAGGACCUUCGCAGCAGCAGCGCGUGGACAACAACGGCAGCGCUGGCUCGUGGGGUCAAGCUCCUCCGCCUCAGCUGCGGGACCCGUGGGGCCAGCCGCAACAGCAACAGCAACCGCAGCCGCAGCAGCCACCGCAGUCGUCGAAUUCUUGGGGUAAGUUUUAUCAGCAGCCUCAGCCUGGCCAUUGGGGCCAGACAUCUGCACCACCUGCGCAGCUGUCCGAUACAUGGGGCCAGCCACCGGCAAGUAACACAGCGAGGGCUCUCGACUCCUCGAACAGCGGGGGUAACUUGGGCAACAUGUGGGGUGCUUUGGACCAGUUCUCCAACCAGCAGCAACAUAAGUGAGAGAGCACAGCAUCGCUAGUGUGCUCCCUCUUUCUGCCCCCUCCCCCUCCUCCCUAUCACUUCCACUUUCACUAUUUCAGAGACACCCCCACCCACCCAACAGCCCAUAUAUAUAUAUAUAUAUAUGUACGUGUCGCUGAUGAUGAGUUCUUGAUGCAUGUUGUUGCCGACUAACGCUGCUCUGUCGGUCGUUUUCUGCGUGUGUACGUUUUGGAUGCAAGGGACUCCCUCCCCUUCCAUCGAGCCGCUUCGGUGCUUACCAUGGACCCCAUAUGGGAUACGGUGUGAUGUGCUAUGCACGCAUGCCUCUAAGGCGUCAUGAAGGCCGAGAAAAAAAAGGAGAAAAGGCGCGCAGAAGGCGCGAGGGGGAGGGGUGGAUGGGGUGGUUGGGAAGGAGCAGGGUCAGGAACGAUAGCGCACCAAGUGGAAGGCUCGCAAAGAGGGACGAAGUUCGCGUGCUGUGCGCGCAGAUUGAGGCCACCCACCUAUUCGUCGUCAUAAUCUACAAUAGUGAUCGUAAUCUACGCUGACGUCUGAGCGUUUUUUUUUACCUUUGUAUGGCUAUCUUUCCUAGUGUUCUGUAGCCGUUUUGCGUGUCUGCUGCGCUUGUAUAUGCAUGUAUAUAUAUAUAUAUGUGCGCGCAUCUGCCGGCGUUUCUCACUUUCUCACAUGCACACACGCACGCACUCACCACACACAAACACACAUAUACGACCUCCAACUCUUUUUUCUUUUUUUUUCCGGCUUUCCUUUGUGUCUCGGUGUGCCUGUGCCCUGUGUGUGUGCGUGCUCCUGUAUGCGUGUGCGUCGAUGUGGCUGAAGCGCCUCUGAUGCUCGGUGCUCUUUUUUUUCUUAUUGGUUCCUUUGCUCCCGCUUCUCUCUUUUUGUGUCGUGCGGGAGUGCCUUAUCUGGUGAAUGUGACAGUGUACGCCGUCGUUGCACGACGACUGCGUUUGUUGCUUGCUGCUGCGGAAGGGCGCUGCAGGGGUGGGGCUCGUUGCUGUCGGGUGUCGUCGCUCGUCUUCGUUCUCCGCCCUCUUUGUUCGUUUUUUUUUUCAGCUCGUUUUGUUUCGCUUGUGCGGUUUUGCCUUUUGAGGACGCCUGUGCGGCGGUUGUGCAUGCGAACGAGUCUGUCUGCUGCGUAUCUGGGUGCGUAUGGCACUCUUUGCCUUCGCUGAGGCGCCCGUUUUUCUGUACGUCUGUGCUUCAAUCCUGUCAAGCUGACGGCACACCCUUUCUUGCGCCGCAUUGCCUACACACGGAAGCUAAGAGAGCGCAGGGGGCCAUACAGACACGUCUUUUCCCCUUCUUUCUGGCUUUCACAGUAUGCGACUUCCUGCCUCGGCCGCACAUCGAGGCGUACGGGUGCUUGUGCGUGUGCCUUGAUGACGAUACACAUACCAACAUACACAUACACGCACCAAGUGUCCGGUCCGGCUACCCGCGACACUCACGGAUGUGUGCACGUAAACAACUUCCCUCUUUUGCGAGAUGGGAAGCGGACGAAUCGCACUGACAUCUCGCCGUCGUGUGCCGCGCUCAAGCACGAUCGCCAGAGAGCACGCUUGUUUGAACCGAUGGCCUUCUCUGCUGCUCUUCGUUUUACUUUGCGUCCCCACCCCCGCCCCCUGACGACGAGGAGGGGGCACACCUGAGAGAGUGGUAUCCGAGGGCCCGGUACACCCACUCUGUAGGGGAGCCAAGCAGCCAUCCUAUUUCUUCCAACACCUGACCCCUUCUGGUACUGACAGGGUCAAGCACCUACGACGUGGAGAAGUCAGAGCGAUGUAUCGCGACUCAUGUCGGUGGUCGGGUCCUGGAUGGGGCUGCGUCGGAGAGAGCUGCGAUAAGAAACACGCUUGCGCCACUCACAUGAUGGUCAGAGUGCCCACGUAGCUCGAGCGCAGCCCACCCGGUCCUCGCUGCCUGCCGGUGGUGGUGGGGGAGCCUCAGCCACCUCGAGGGAGAUGCACCAGGCGGCAACCGGCCUCACUGGGGGCGGCUGUGAGGCCGCCCUGCCCAGCGGGCGGGUGGGUAGGGUGUGGGGCAGAGGCCGUGCUCAAAUGAGAGGAACGGCAGUGCUGUGAUGCGUGCCUUCGGCGGCUUCGAACCGCGCGGAUGGGGCCUGUGAUCGGUCGGGGUAGUGUGGAGUUGAGCACAUGUUGUAUGACAGAGAAAUGAACACGCUACAGAGCAGAAAAAAGACCGCACCCUCUGCUGCCUGUGCUUCUGAUUGCCGUCUUCCCCUCCCCCGCUGGACUCUGCUCGUCUUGCAUCGUGUAGAUGGCCGUUCUCUCUCGUCCUCCACCCCAUUCUUCCUCGCCUCUUUUUGUUUUUCUCGUUGCAUGUCCGCCGAUGCGCUCGCUGUCUUCUAUUAUUAUUGAUGCAUGUCGUGUUGGGUCUACAUCACCGCUGCGUUGCUGCGUCGUUUCCUGAGCAAGAGAGAAACAAAGGUGCAAUCACACAUCUGUGCAGAGUGGCUUGCAUGAACCUGCCCUACCAUCUCUCUUACUCAACCGUAGACACUGUGUGCACUCUUAUCUUGGUAGACGUCUGUGCGCAUCUGCGUGAGGGUAGCAAGGCCUUGGCAGACUAGCGGAUUUUAGCCCGCUUUUCUGACAUGAAAGGCACCCCCUCUCCGGCAUUGGAGUCCUUUUCCGGGGGAGAGGAGGUGUAAGCUCGCCGGGCGCUGUUUAGCUGUAAGCAGUCGAAGGGAGUCGAAGUAGAGUGACGAAAGACGUUUGCAGCACCGCUGGAGAGGUCUUGCUGCAGCCUUCCCUCCCUCCCUCCCUCAGCUCUCUGACCAGCAGCCGAGUACCGCUGUCGUUUUGCCCUUGUUAGCUCCUCACCUUCAUCUGCCCCCUUUUCGGUUCGUUUCUCUUUCAG